AAAAACUCCUGCAGUGGGAUUUUAAGCGAGAGCUGAAUGUCUGCGUCUCCCACAUUGGGUCGGAUUGAGGUUUUCGCGUCGAUGUGUGGCGAUAGGAGCGCGAGUUCCUCCGCUCUGUUGUCGGCCCGAAGAGCUUUUCCUCUGUGAGAUCUCGUAAGGAGAGCUGAAUAAAUAUGAUUUUCAAAUAGCCGAAGAAUUUAGCGGGGGGGGGAGGGGGGGGGUUGGAGGGGGAGGGUGGGAGAGGCAGAGCCCGGAGCCUGCAGUUGCGCUGCUGCAGGAAGAACGGGUGGUAUCUGGCCUGAAAUGAAUCUUUCCCCAUAUUUAUUUACUUUAAGAGACAAUCCUGGAAUAAAUAGAGGCAUCUGGAGGACCAAGAAAUAUUUUUGCUGCCUCUUCAGAGAGUCUGCUUUGGAUUCACGCUCUCUAUUGUGUGCAAUCCCCCCCCCCCCCCUUCCCCUUUAUUUUUUUUUUUUUUAAUAGCAGAAAAGGAACAAAAGAAAGAGAGAAAGAACUUGGGCAGGCAGAAGAGGAGAGGAAGGGAGUGGGGAAAGGACAAAGCGGGGGGAAGAAGGGAACUCCGGCGCUGCUGAGGGCUGAGAUGCAGAGGGAAGUUGGCUGCAGCUGACUUCGCUUUCUCGUACGGAGCGAUCGGAGCUCAGCACCGCCCUUCCCCGCUCCGCACGGCCGGAGGGGAGAAUCGCUCAAAGCGAAAGCAAAAGGUUUGGAAGGGAGAGGAGAGGGAUGCACUGCGCUGAGCACACAGCACUGUCCGGGAGCGGGCGGACAUGGGAAGGAGCAUUCAGCCCCGAAAAGGUGUCAGAAGUCAAUGGCUCAGACAAAGGCUUCGUCUUCUGUAACCUCCUCAUUUGCCACGAGAGACUACUUCUUAAUCUAUUUUUUUUUUUCCUUCACCGGGGAAUAAAAUAAAAUGAAGUAUAAGAUAGGAUUCCUACGGCUCGUGGGCUGCUAGCGUUAGUUUUGCUCCGUGCCACCAAGUUCCUUCCCCCUGCAGAUUGAAAAGAGGAGGUGAGAGGCAAAGCUGUGAGUCUGCCUGGAAAGGGACCCGGUGGUUCACCAUCAUUUCGAGAAGAGAUCAUCUCCCCUCCAAGAGGGCAACCGGAGCUUUUGCGGAGCACAAACGCUGCGAGAUAACCUUGCAGGAGCUGAAGGCGAUGGCAAAGCGUGCUGUAAUUGCGGUGCGGAUCUUUGCUCGUGCUUCUGCCAGGAGGAAUGCUCGGGAUCCCGCUGCUCUGAGCGGACUUUGAUUCGCGUAACUUUGCGCGCAGCCACCAGGGAUGGCUUCGGGUCGAGAGGAGCGCGGACAGAGAGUGUUUUGCGGGGGGUUCGCGUCGUGGUUUGGGAUUCCGCAGCGCAGAGGGGGGAGAGGACGCUGCGUUAACCCGCGUCUGUAGUUUGCUGUAAGGUGAAGAGUCUCCAUCUCCGCCUCGCACUGCUCGGUGCACUCCCCGAAUGGAAGGGGUUUGUACGGCAAUCGCGAUCGUUUCCCUCGUGUGUGUGCGGGUGUGAGUGUGCGCGGAGCCCACGGCGACGCGGGGAGCGAAGCGCUCCGUGCAAUGGAGGUUCCCGUGUAAAUAAAAGAAAUCUUCAGCAGAUAUGUUCGCCUUUGUGUGCCACCACCAAAACGCCCCAUCCACGACUCAUUCCGUGACCUUGCCUGCUCGCAUGAAGGCUCCAAAAACUGCUGCUCCUCAUUAGGGCUGCGCUGCUUGGGUAAUUUCUGCUCGUUUUGCGGUUCGUCUGUGGUGUAUUCUGACAUAUUUCUCCCCUGGAAAACGUCCCCACUGACUCUCAGUGCUCCUCUCCCCCCAUGCUCAGCCCUUUCUCUCUCCUUCUCCCUCUGCCUCUUUCUCUUCCCCUCUCUCCCCUUCUGCACAUACACACAACCCUUCUUUGUAGGGAUUCUCCCAGAUAUUCCACCGGUUUGGGAAAGCCAAGCUGCUUUCACGUCACUCCCUGCAUCUCAGCACCUUCGCACCGUAACUAUUUCUUAAAAUGGGAAUAGAUCAAAGAGUGACGAGCACAGAUAUAUGCGUAUAUAGAUACGUAUUUCUUUUCUUGCGAACAUAAAAGUAACCGUCAUUGGAGAGCUGUGAUUGACAGAUAAAUUGGUCUCGAUAAAGGCCAAAGAAGACAGUCUGCUCCUGCAGGAAUAUUUCCCUUUAAGGGCUCCCAUAAAGCAGGGGGCUCAGAACGGAACGGGGGAUAAAUUCUGCGGCUGAGCGAGUGGAUGACUUUCCUCGUCGAAUUUGGCAAACCACGAAUCCCUCCCCAAACAUCCCUCCCGUCGGGGUUUUGUUUCCAAGCCUUCCCUGUGUUCUCCGAGGGGGAAACCCCACUUCCAGGGGCUGCGCGGUGCAGUGAAGGGCAGCGUUUAGUGUUGGCUCAGCUGAGGCUCGUGACUUUGGGGGGGUCCGGGAGGACUUUCCUGGCAGCCCCACUCCCCGCCUGUCUGUCUCCGGAUCUGUUGGAUUCACUCACGCUCCAAUCUCCCCCUCCGACUUGCUGAGAAAAGGAAAGAGCGAGAAAUGGAAUGCGGUUCUGUCCCGGGGGUGCGUGGGAUCCGCGCCGGGGGAACGCCGCGCACUGGGGACACUCUGCCCUCCCGGUGCCUUUCUGCCCCUGGGGGAAGGGAUGGGGAGGUGGGGGGGGGCUCCACCGCUCUCUGAGCCCCCACUUUUUCUUCCUCUUGCAAACGUUGCCCGUUUCCCUCUCUCUCCCCACCGCGUCACCCCAGCCCUAUAAAACCCGUGGUGAUGAAUAGCCCUGAGGAGCCCGGACAAUCAGGCUUAUGAUUUUGUGUGUGCGUGUUGUUUGGGUUCUUAAAAAAAAUAAAAAUAAAAAAGAAAGAAAGAAAAAAAGAAAAGAAAAAGAAAAGAAAAAUGAAGGAAGAAAGAAAAAGAGAAGGGUCCUUUUUUUUUUUUUUUUUUGUGGAUAUAUUUCCUUUCUCUUUCUUUCUUUGCAGAGAAAUCGCCCAACUCCAUUCUUUCAGCCCCCAAUGGGCGUGAGCCACGUACCUACCUGUCUAUCCUUACAAAGGAAAGCUUAUCCUCCCAACACGCAGUCAGGGCAUCCCCGAGUUGUUUGGUUGUUUGUUUUUUUUUAACCUCUCCCAACUCUCUCCCAUCGAUUUGGUGAGAAAAGAGAAAAGGGAAAAGAAAAGUUGCGCGUGAAAAAAAAGCAGCAAAAAAGGGGAAAAAGGAAGCAAAAAUAUCCCCCCGAAAGAACAACCCAACAACGACACCGCACGCAGAAAUGAAACCCGG
rnacentral:lncRNA from 1 species